UACAGAGGGGGCAAGCGUUGUUCGGAAUUACUGGGCGUAAAGGGCGCGUAGGUGGCCUUCUAAGUUGAACGUGAAAUCCCUGGGCUCAACCCAGGAACUGCGUCCAAGACUGGGAGGCUUGAAUCCGGGAGAGGGAUGCGGAAUUCCAGGUGUAGCGGUGAAAUGCGUAGAUAUCUGGAGGAACACCGGUGGCGAAGGCGGCUCACUGGGUCUUUCCUGACGCUGAGGAACGAAAGCUAGGGGAGCGAACGGG
rnacentral:rRNA from 1 species